AUCCCAUGGUGAGGGCAUUUGCGCAAUAAUUCCUUAAACCUCUCCCAUGCCUCAUACAAAGAUUCCCCUUCAUGUUGCUAAAAUCCGGUGAUGUCAUUUCUAAGCUU
rnacentral:snoRNA from 1 species